UGGUGAGGUAACGGCUCACCAAGGCGACGAUGGGUAGCCGGCCUGAGAGGGUGUACGGCCACACUGGGACUGAGACACGGCCCAGACUCCUACGGGAGGCAGCAGUGGGGAAUAUUGCGCAAUGGACGGAAGUCUGACGCAGCGACGCCGCGUGAGCGAUGAAGGCCUUCGGGUCGUAAAGCUCUGUCCUUGGGGAAGAAGGUCUUCGGACUUGACGGUACCCAAGAAGAAAGCCCCGGCUAACUACGUGCCAGCAGCCGCGGUAAUACGUAGGGGGCGAGCGUUGUCCGGAAUUACUGGGCGUAAAGGGUGCGUAGGCGGCCCUUUAAGUCAGAUGUGAAAGGCCACGGCUUAACCGUGGGAUUGCAUUUGAAACUGGAGGACUUGAGUGUCGGAGAGGGUAGUGGAAUUCCCAGUGUAGCGGUGAAAUGCGUAGAUAUUGGGAGGAACACCAGUGGCGAAGGCGACUACCUGGACGAUAACUGACGCUGAGGCACGAAAGCUAGGGGAGCAAACAGGAUUAGAUACCCUGGUAGUCCUAGCCGUAAACGAUGGGUACUAGGUGUAGGUGGUUUCGAUACCAUCUGUGCCGGAGUUAA
rnacentral:rRNA from 1 species